rnacentral:rRNA from 1 species
GACGAACGCUGGCGGCGUGCUUAACACAUGCAAGUCGAACGAAGAGCGAUGGAAGCUUGCUUCUAUCAAUCUUAGUGGCGAACGGGUGAGUAACGCGUAAUCAACCUGCCCUUCAGAGGGGGACAACAGUUGGAAACGACUGCUAAUACCGCAUACGAUCUAAUCUCGGCAUCGAGGAUAGAUGAAAGGUGGCCUCUACAUGUAAGCUAUCACUGAAGGAGGGGAUUGCGUCUGAUUAGCUAGUUGGAGGGGUAACGGCCCACCAAGGCGAUGAUCAGUAGCCGGUCUGAGAGGAUGAACGGCCACAUCGGGACUGAGACACGGCCCAGACUCCUACGGGAGGCAGCAGUGGGGAAUCUUCCGCAAUGGACGAAAGUCUGACGGAGCAACGCCGCGUGAGUGAUGACGGCCUUCGGGUUGUAAAGCUCUGUUAAUCGGGACGAAAGGCCUUCUUGCGAAUAGUGAGAAGGAUUGACGGUACCGGAAUAGAAAGCCACGGCUAACUACGUG